CGUAGGGUCCAAGCGUUGUCCGGAUUUACUGGGCGUAAAGAGCGCGUAGGCGGUCUGUUAAGUGUGAAGUGAAAUCUCUAGGGCUCAACCCAGAAACUGCUUUACAUACUGCCAGACUUGAGUGAUGAAGAGGUUUGUGGAAUUCCUGGUGUAGCGGUGAAAUGCGUUGAUAUCAGGAGGAACACCCAUGGCGAAGGCAGCAAACUGGUCAUCAACUGACGCUGAGGCGCGAAAGCGUGGGUAGCAAACAGGAUUAGAUACCCUGGUAGUCCACGCCCUAAACGAUGGAUACUAGGCGUAAGAGGUAUCGACCCCUCUUGUGCCGCAGCUAACGCAUUAAGUAUCCCGCCUGGGGAGUACGGCCGCAAGGUUG
rnacentral:rRNA from 1 species